CGAGGAAGACUAGUGUUAUUCAUCUUUAUUAGGUUUAAAGGGUACCUAGACGGCAUAUCAAGCCCCAAAAGGGAACAGAUAUACUAGAGUUUUAUGUGAGAGGAAUAUAUUAGUACUAUUGGUGUAGAGAUGAAUUCUUUGAUACUAAUAGGACGGAUAAGAGCAAAAGACAAACCUUUAUGUAAAAACUAGACGUUGAGGGACGAAGGCUUGGGUCGCGAAUAGGAUU
rnacentral:rRNA from 1 species